ensembl:lncRNA
AGCUGACUUGUUAGGCUCUGGGGGUCUUUUGCGACACGUUGCCUUUCUGGAUCACUUGUGCCAUAUGGAACCUCCCCUCGUGGCACAUAACUCACUUUUAUGAGGGCUUCAUUGGCUAAUGAUGGAACAGUGCACGAGCACUGAGCACGGAGGUGUUGUCCCCACGACUGUCGCUCCCUCCGCCGUCGCUGCCGCUGUCACUCUGAUCCCUGCUGAGAACUCUACCGCUGGCUUCAGAGGCUCCUGAACUCCGUUACCUGAUGUUUGAGUGAUGCCGGUGUCGGCAAUAUUUCUUCGCCUUUUUCCCGACAGACACCUUCAUCAUCGUGAAAACUCCAGUUAACCCACCAGGAGGAGAAAGCAAAGAGGGAUGUUUUUCUGCUCCAUCUCUGUGGCAACAGCAACUUAUCGAGCAGAGGAAACAUGAAUGCUGGAGGGAAUGUCAACUGGAAAAGAAGAAGAAGAAUGACGACUCAGGGGUCAUGAAUUGUACAAAGGGUGUUAGAAGCUUUGCUGCACUUAACAUCAUUAAGGCCUUUAUUAAUUACUGUUAUGAAGCAUUGUAAAUCACUUUCUUCAUUAGACUUAACACAGCCUUUUCACAAGUGACUCAUGGCCUGCUGGAAACAACACACUAAUCAACAUGGAACAGUAUUCUCAAUUAACAACAAAACCUCAAUAUCAACUCCAUGGAUGUACACCGUAGAAUACAUAGAUACAUGUUAAGCGUUUUAGUGUUGAAAGUGUUACUUGAGUAUAUCUUUUCCCAGGUAUGUCUUUUUUCCAAGGAAACAUUUCUGUUUUGUUUCACGCAGCAUUUCCACAAACACCUGUACCUGAUUACAACUAGAUAAUGACAUCACAUGGUGUGGGUUUAAACCAUAUCAACGCAAUGUUACCACCCUGCCUUUUGUGACAUGUCUGAUGUACUAUUACCACAACUGUGGUUCAUUGAUACAUAGCCCUUUACAAACUAUUUAUCCCAGAAGUACUAUUUUGGAUGAAACUAAGACUCUAUAUGAUUUCACUUAAUCUCAUAAUAAUGUUUUCUAAACAGAAGCACAUAUGUUGCUGGGUUGUGUAGCUCAAUGGAAACAAUACAAAACUUUGACCACUGACAAUGUCAGCGGUCACGGUGGUCGGGGCCCUGACCAGCAGUGGUAAAUGUUGGGUUUUAGGAUGUGAGCCAGUUGAAAUCUUCCCCUACUGUGAAAUAGUACAUUGGUUUGAGUUGAAUAGUGCAUUGCUUUGAAUUUCGACAUUCAAGCCUAUCAAGCCCAAUGGCUCAAAGAACACAGUAGGUCAGGUGCAAUCCAUUGGUGGAAUUCAGAUGUUUAGAGGUUACUCCUCUUUAUCAUUAUGACUUCCUCAAGUCUAACAAAGAAACAUGCUGUCACAUGGGUUGUAUACCACUUGUAUUAAGUGAUGGAUGAAGUCCAUAUUUAUUUUUUGAUUUUUGUUUUUGU